rnacentral:tRNA from 1 species
GGCGACGUAGCCAAGCGGUAAGGCAGAGGUCUGCAAAACCUCCAUCACCGGUUCGAAUCCGGUCGUCGCCU